rnacentral:lncRNA from 1 species
GCGCACUCCCUGCGGCCCUCCCGCCAGGCGCCGCGCUGGGCAGCCAGCGCCCCGGCGGGGUCCUUCAGGCCUUCGGCCGGGCAGCCUCCCUCGGGGUCCUUGCGCGGUUGCCUAGCAGCUGCGAGGACGCGGGCCGAGCCGGAAGUGGAGUGCGCUGCGGCGCGAGCUGGGCCGGCGGGUGUGGUUCGAGAGCGCGCGGAGUCCAGACUGGCGGCAGGGCCCGAGGGGCCGACCCGCAGCGUCCCUGGUCUCUCCAGCCCUCACUCGGAACCGCACGGUACAGGUGAAAGGGGGCAGACCCCUCAUCAUGCUUUCCAGGCAUCUGCCACUUCCCAGGAAUUGUCUCCCUGGAUAAACAAGGCGAAGUCCCUGGCUGUGCGGAAGCAGUAGCUGUGUGGUGGCGCAGUCAGGAAAACUCGGGGGCCCUGUUGACAGUGACAAUACCCUCCCCUCCCUUGGGCUGGACCCCUCUCUACAGCUAGGAGCCAAUGGCAGAAGACAAAACCAAACCGAGUGAGUUGGACCAAGGGAAGUAUGAUGCUGAUGACAACGUGAAGAUCAUCUGCCUGGGAGACAGCGCAGUGGGCAAAUCCAAGUAUGUUGGGAGAUUAGGGAAUAAAUACCAGCCCCAGAGAGGGUCCGGGUCAUUUUAAAAGUCCUCCAGAGGCAGAGGAGCAUGGCUUCUUGGGGCUGGUGAAGGAGCAGUCUUGGCUGGAGCGCAGAUGUUCAUGGGGGAACGAGGGGAAUCACGUGAGCCGUUGUGUGUGUCGGGUGGAGGGGGCAGGUCAUAAGGACUGAGGAAUUUGAAUGUUUCCUCUGAGCCCUGAGAGAACGUGUGGAGCAACUGAGGACAUUGUGUGUGGUUUGUGGGCUGAGGGGUGGCAAGGGCGGGGAGUGGGAAUGGAAAGACAAAAGUGAUUAUGCCACCAUGACAGAUUGGGUAAAGGUGGUAAAGAUGCUUUCUUGGAGGGACUCUCUGAAAUAGAGAAAACUGGGUAGAACUGACGAUUGACUAUAAUCAUUGUGAAGACUGGCUUCUUCUUGUAAUGAAUUUCGGUGCCUACAUGCCACCCGGAGAGGUGAAGGGAGGCUCUGCCG